CAAUCCGCAGCGAAGGGAGAAAAGUCAAGCAUCGACGUCCCGUGGCGCUGAAGGGCAGGGAAGCAGCGCCGGGAGGUGAAGAGUUCCGCGGGCUGAUGUCCUGGGAGCGUUCGAGCAGAGGAUGAGAUAAGUAUUGGGUUCUUGAGGGAAUUUGUGUUCAGAGAGGCCUGCUUGAGGACAAGGUAUGAAGUCUUGCCGGCUCCAGAAGUUGAGUUACGAAGGGGGGUGACGAACGACCUGGAGGUGGCCGAGGAAGGAGACCCCAUCCAGACGACGUGAUGACUAUGAUCCCACCUCGCUGAACCUUUAAUAGACGUUAUGCCCGUUAUCGCCGUUCCACUGUUAAAGUACCACCAUCAAUGGAUAGAUAGGGCUUUAUUAAAAUAGGCUCCUAAUAAGGAUAAAUCCA